CUACCUCCCAAGCACUGGGCUCAAAGGUGUGCGCCACCACCACUGCCCGGCUUCUUCUGUUUCUUUCUAAUAAACUCCAACUCUGCUUCAAACAGGUUAGCUCUAAAGUUAUUUCUGUGAUAUGGCCAGGGAUCUGGUUUUGCCUAAGGUCAGGUCUCUGCAGACCUCAGGCCAAGAUCUGGUUUUGUCUAAGGUCAGGUCUCUGCAGAUCUCAGGCCAAGAUCUGGUUUUGUCUAAGGUCAGGUCUCUGCAGACCUCAGG